rnacentral:snoRNA from 1 species
AUACAAUGAUGACGACACUCGAGUAUGUAGUCUUGAAAGCGCUCCCAAGCUUCUAGGACUGUCUCAUUAUGUUGUUGCUGAAACCUCGAUAUCUUCCCACGCAGAGC